GGAAUCUUAGACAAUGGGCGCAAGCCUGAUCUAGCCAUGCCGCGUGAGCGAUGAAGGCCUUAGGGUUGUAAAGCUCUUUCACCGGGGAAGAUAAUGACGGUACCCACAGAAGAAGCUCCGGCUAACUCCGUGCCAGCAGCCGCGGUAAUACGGAGGGAGCUAGCGUUGUUCGGAAUUACUGGGCAUAAAGCGUACGUAGGCGGAUUAGCAAGUUUGGGGUGAAAUCCCGGGGCUUAACCCCGGAAUUGCCUCCAAAACUGCUGAUCUAGAGUCCGGGAGAGGUAAGCGGAAUUCCUAGUGUAGAGGUGAAAUUCGUAGAUAUUAGGAAGAACACCAGUGGCGAAGGCGGCUUACUGGACCGGUACUGACGCUGAGGUACGAAAGCGUGGGGAGCG
rnacentral:rRNA from 1 species